rnacentral:lncRNA from 1 species
AUACUUUAGUCUUUCCUUUCUACCUUUCUGCCUCUCUCAGUAAAGGCUGUUAUUAAGUAACAAAUUCGGGUGGGUCAAGGGCAGAGUAACCAAGAGAUCUCAGCAAGCAUGAGGGAGAUUCAAGGAGCUGGCAUUGUGUGACUGGGGACAGAAAAGCCCUCAUGCAGGCAGGCGGGUCACAAUUGUUCCCUUCAGAUUUCUGAGGGGCUGCCUUGGUGGGAGAGGGGGUAGUUCAGUUCUGUGGGGCUCCAGGGGGCAAAAGGCAUGAUAAAUGAGUAGAAGUCAUGGAGAGGUGGAGCUUGCCUCCAGACAGAAUGCUAAGAAGGAUGCUGCUGCACAGUGGGGACUGAGCCAACUCACUGUUCAACAAAUAAGCAUUGGAGGGUCUCUAGUUCCAUAGAAAGAAGGCAAAUGAAGAGGACAGAAGAAGGAGAGAGACCUUCCCACCCCAUCAGCCCUAUGCUGCAGAGAGGGAUCCCACAUCUACUUCUCUUGCAGAAACCAACUGGUGGAAGUGACCUUCUCAUGGAGUGUCCUUCACAAUCCUGGUGGAAGUCACAGGCCUGCCCAAGCUGGAGGACUGUCCCAUUCCAACAAGUGAAGGAGCUCUGCAGGGCCAUCUUGGAGCCUGGGGAUGUUCCUGGAGAGCACACAGACACACAACCAUGAACUUGCUCAGUGCUGCCAACUCCAUUCAGGAUGAUGGCUGCCCACUCAUACCUGCAAUGGGUCAUGGACUGGGAAGCUGAUGAAACUGCAACUGGCAUGGGCUGCUGGGAGCCACCAUACAUGGAGGAGAGUGAUGGCUGAUUCACAAUUUAUUGUGAUCCCGGCAUGACACAAUGCAGAAGAGUUUGGAUUUACUGGCUCAGGGGUAAACUGUAGAUUAUUCACUGCGUCCAUUUCACUGGCUGAACCAGGAAGCAAUUCCUGGGUCCAUCUGUCAGAAUCUCUGAACUGGGAGGAGGAGAAGAAUGAAGCACGGACAGCUGACCAGCCAGGCAGUCCCCAGAGCUGCCAUGCACUCUGCAGCACGCUUCCUGGGUCUUCAUUCCAAUCAGUGGGACAGUUUCACGCAUAAAUCCUUACCCGAUGGUCAGAUGUGGUCUCCAUCUGCUUUCCUGACCUCACUUGUCUUCUUUAAAGAGCAGCGACUCAGAAUAAUAAA